AACGAACGCUGGCGGCGCGCCUAAUACAUGCAAGUCGAGCGAGAAGACGUAGCAAUACGUUUGUAAAGCGGCGAACGGGUGAGGAAUACAUGGGUAACCCUACCCUCGAGUGGGGAAUAACUAGCCGAAAGGGUUAGCUAAUACCGCGUACGCUCCUUGGACUUCGGUUCAGGGAGGAAAGCGAUACCGUGGGUACCGCGCUCUUGGAUGGGCUCAUGUCCUAUCAGCUUGUUGGUGAGGAACGGCUCACCAAGGCUUCGACGGGUAGCUGGUCUGAGAGGACGAUCAGCCACACUGGCACUGCGACACGGGCCA
rnacentral:rRNA from 1 species